rnacentral:misc_RNA from 1 species
UACGGAGGGGGCAAGCGUUGUUCGGAAUUACUGGACGUAAAGGGCGCAUAGGCAGAACGUCAAGUUAGGGGUGAAAGGCCUGGGCUCAACCUAGGAACAGCCUCUAAAACUGACGAUCUAGAGUCCAGAAGAGGAUGGCGGAAUUCCCAGUGUAGAGGUGAAAUUCGUAGAUAUUGAGAAGAACACCGGUGGCGAAGGCGGCCAUCUGGUCCGGUACUGACGCUGAGACGCGAAAGCGUGGGGAGCAAACAGG